AGUGAACGCUGGCGGUAGGCCUAACACAUGCAAGUCGAACGGCAGCACAGUAAGAGCUUGCUCUUACGGGUGGCGAGUGGCGGACGGGUGAGGAAUACAUCGGAAUCUACUUUUUCGUGGGGGAUAACGUAGGGAAACUUACGCUAAUACCGCAUACGACCUACGGGUGAAAGCAGGGGAUCUUCGGACCUUGCGCGAUUGAAUGAGCCGAUGUCGGAUUAGCUAGUUGGCGGGGUAAAGGCCCACCAAGGCGACGAUCCGUAGCUGGUCUGUGAGGAUGAUCAGCCACACUGGAACUGAGACACGGUCCAGACUCCUACGGGAGGCAGCAGUGGGGAAUAUUGGGCAAUGGGCGCAAGCCUGAUCCAGCCAUACCGCGUGGGUGAAGAAGGCCUUCGGGUUGUAAAGCCCUUUUGUUGGGAAAGAAAAGCAGCAGGUUAAUACCCCGCUGUUCUGACGGUACCCAAAGAAUAAGCACCGGCUAACUUCGUG
rnacentral:rRNA from 1 species